CUACGGGGGGCUGCAGUGAGGAAUAUUGCACAAUGGGGGGAACCCUGAUGCAGCAACGCCGCGUGGAUGAUGACGCAUUUCGGUGUGUAAACUCCUUUUAUAUGUCAAGAAAAUGACGGUAGCAUAUGAAUAAGCACCGGCUAACUCCGUGUCAGCAGCCGCGGUAAUACGGAGGGUGCAAGCGUUACUCGGAAUCACUGGGCGUAAAGGACGCGUAGGCGGGUUGGAAAGUCAGGUGUGAAAUCCUACAGCUUAACUGUAGAACUGCACUUGAAACUUCUAAUCUAGAGUAUGGGAGGGGGAGAUGGAAUUAGUGGUGUAGGGGUAAAAUCCGUAGAUAUCACUAGGAAUACCUAAAGCGAAGGCGAUCUCCUGGAACAUUACUGACGCUAAGGCGUGAAAGCGUGGGGAGCAAACAGGAUUAGAUACCCGGGUAGUC
rnacentral:rRNA from 1 species